rnacentral:rRNA from 1 species
AGCAGCCGCAGUAAUUCCAGCUCCAAUAGCAUAUAUUAAAGUUGUUGCAGUCAAAAAGCUCGUAGUUGAAUUUCAGGGUUAGUAGGUUGGUCGUGCCUAUGGUAUGUACUGGCUUUACUGAUUCCUUCUUCUUGAAGAACUGUAAAAUGUCUGUAAUGUCAUUAAUUUGGCGUUGCAGGGAAACAGGACUGUUACUUUGAAAAAAUUAGAGUGUUUAAAGCAGGCUAACGCUUGAAUACAUUAGCAUGGAAUAAUGAAAUAGGACGUUUGAUCCUAUUUUGUUAGUUUCUAGGAUUGACGUAAUGAUUAAUAGGGAUAGUUGGG